UACGGGGGGGGCAAGCGUUGUUCGGAGUUACUGGGCGUAAAGGGCUCGUAGGUGGCCAACUAAGUCAGACGUGAAAUCCCUCGGCUUAACCGGGGAACUGCGUCUGAUACUGGAUGGCUUGAGUUUGGGAGAGGGACGCGGAAUUCCAGGUGUAGCGGUGAAAUGCGUAGAUAUCUGAAGGAACAUCAGUGGCGAAAGCGACUUCCUGGACCAAUACUGACGCUCAUGUGCGAAAGCGUGGGGAGCAAACAGG
rnacentral:rRNA from 1 species